rnacentral:rRNA from 1 species
AGAGUUUGAUCCUGGCUCAGAAUCAACGCUGGCGGCGUGCCUAACACAUGCAAGUCGAACGCGGUUAGUAGCAAUACUAACUGAGUGGCGAACGGGUGAGUAACACGUGGGUGACCUACCUUCGAGUGGGGGAUAACGUCCCGAAAGGGACGCUAAUACCGCAUGACAUCCUCUUUUUGAACAGAGAGAGAUCAAAGCCGGGGAUCGCAAGACCCGGCGCUUGAUGAGGGGCCCGCGUCUGAUUAGCUAGUUGGUGGGGUAACGGCUCACCAAGGCGACGAUCAGUAUCCGGCCUGAGAGGGCGGACGGACACACUGGGACUGAGACACGGCCCAGACUCCUACGGGAGGCAGCAGUGGGGAAUUGUUCGCAAUAGGCGCAAGCCUGACGACGCAACGCCGCGUGGAGGAUGAAGAUCUUCGGGUCGUAAACUCCUGUCGAGCGGGACGAACACCUGCCGGUUUAAUACACUGGCAGGCUGACGGUACCGCUAAAGGAAGCCCCGGCUAACUCCGUGCCAGCAGCCGCGGUAAUACGGGGGGGGCAAGCGUUGUUCGGAAUUACUGGGCGUAAAGGGCUCGUAGGCGGCCAACUAAGUCAGACGUGAAAUCCCCAGGCUCAACCUGGGAACUGCGUCUGAUACUGGAUGGCUUGAAUCCGGGAGAGGGAUGCAGAAUUCCAGGUGUAGCGGUGAAAUGCGUAGA